rnacentral:misc_RNA from 1 species
CGAUCCGAUCGUAACGUGGUUCCAGGAUUUUGGAAAUGGUCCAAACUUCCGAGUGGAGCCUGUAGAAUUUUAAUUACGCCGGUGGCCAGGACCAGACAACAAAAGGCAGCCGCGUAUUUGGUACACAAGCAAGCCCGAUCAAUUUAUUCAAACAAGAUUUCAUUGAAGCUGUAACGUUUCCUAAUAGAGUCAAACUUCUGAUGGGUGAAUCUAAUUAUCUGAACCUAUACUUCUAUUAUGAAUUGUAUUAUGAAUUGUAAGUAGUGGAGAGUAGUAUUAUGAAUUUUCGCACACAGUGAGAGCCAACAACAUAUAUAUGCAGAGUAGAAGCUCCAUUAUCUGAACGUUCCACUAUUUGGACACUUGUCACGUGUAAAGAACUUAAUCCUCUGCAAGAAUGUUUGUUAACAGUCAACGAAGAUAAAGCUUCAGGAACAAUUAAGAGGAUUAGCUGUUAUACUGCUGUUAUAUGUGUUAAAUGUGAUACUAGAAAGAUUGAGGACACCAUUUUUAUUAUAUUACUACAGAUUCAGAAGAAACUCCUUUUCCAUAGAAUACCAGAAUCCUAUGAUCCUGAUAACGUCGACGCUAUAGAACGCUUUUAAUGUGAUGAAUCUUCUUCAGUGGACGUCUUCUUCAGAUGAUGUUAAU